rnacentral:rRNA from 1 species
UACAGAGGGUGCAAGCGUUGUUCGGAAUUAUUGGGCGUAAAGCGCGUGUAGGCGGCUUUGCAAGUCGGGUGUGAAAGCCCUCAGCUCAACUGAGGAAGUGCGCCCGAAACUGCAGAGCUUGAGUGCCGGAGAGGGUGGCGGAAUUCCCCAAGUAGAGGUGAAAUUCGUAGAUAUUGGGAGGAACACCAGUGGCGAAGGCGGCUCACUGGACCGGUACUGACGCUGAUGCGCGAAAGCGUGGGGAGCAAACGGG